rnacentral:rRNA from 1 species
GACGAACGCUGGCGGCAGGCCUAACACAUGCAAGUCGAGCGGUAAGGCCCUUUCGGGGGUACACGAGCGGCGAACGGGUGAGUAACACGUGGGUGACCUGCCCUCAGCUCUGGGAUAAGCCUGGGAAACCGGGUCUAAUACUGGAUAUGACUCCAUGACGCAUGUUGUGGGGUGGAAAGCCUUGUGCGGCUGAGGAUGGGCCCGCGGCCUAUCAGCUUGUUGGUGGGGUGAUGGCCUACCAAGGCGA